UACGAACUGUGCGAACGUUAUUCGGAAUCACUGGGCUUAAAGGGUGCGUAGGUGGUUUGCUAAGUCAGGUGUGAAAGCCCCCGGCUCAACCGGGGAACAGCGCUUGAAACUCGCAGACUGGAGUGAGGUAGGGGUGUACGGAACUUCCAGUGGAGCGGUGAAAUGUGUAGAUAUUGGAAGGAACGCCGGCGGCGAAAGCGGUACACUGGGCCUUGUCUGACACUGAGGCACGAAAGCUAGGGGAGUGAACGGGAUUAGAUACCCCGGUAAUCCUAGCCGUAAACACUGAGCACUGGAGGGGGGUGGCUUCGGCCUUCCCCCUCGUAGCGAAAGCGUUAAGUGCUCCGCCUGGGGAGUAUGGUCGCAAGGCUG
rnacentral:rRNA from 1 species